GGCCAUGUCUUCCCGCAGCUUUCUUGAGCUUCUUCCCGAUUCUCGCAACGUUUGAAAAAAAGUUCAAGAAAGCUGUGGAAAAGCAUGGCAG
rnacentral:miRNA from 1 species